UAAUGCUCAAGUAUUCUCCUGCUUUUU
rnacentral:piRNA from 1 species